rnacentral:snRNA from 12 species
AUCGCUUCUCGGCUUUAUGGGUAAGAUCAAAGUGUAGUAUCUGUUUUUAUCAGCUUAACAUCUGAUAGAUCCUCCAUCGGAGAACAAUAAUAUUUUGUAUAAAUUAAUUUUC